UGCGGCGUGCCUCCCAUGCAGCUCGAGCGGAUCUCUUCGGCAGAGUAGCGGCGGACGGGUGAGUACGCGUGGGUACCUGCCCUGUACACACGGAUAACAUACCGAAAGGUAUACUAAUACGGGUUAACAUACGAAAGUCGCAUGGUUUUUGUAUCAAAGCUCCGGUGGAACGGGAUGGACCUCGAUCUGAUUAGCUAGUUGGUAAGGUAAUGGCUUACCAAGGC
rnacentral:rRNA from 1 species